CGCAAGCCUGACGGAGCAACGCCGCGUGAGGGAUGAAGGCCUCUGGGCUGUAAACCUCUUUUCUCAAGGAAGAAGAUCUGACGGUACUUGAGGAAUAAGCCACGGCUAAUUCCGUGCCAGCAGCCGCGGUAAUACGGGAGUGGCAAGCGUUAUCCGGAAUUAUUGGGCGUAAAGCGUCCGCAGGCGGCCUUGAAAGUCUGUCGUUAAAGCGUGGAGCUCAACUCCAUUUCAGCGAUGGAAACUGUAAGACUCGAGUGUGGUAGGGGCAGAGGGAAUUCCCGGUGUAGCGGUGAAAUGCGUAGAUAUCGGGAAGAACACCAGUGGCGAAAGCGCUCUGCUGGGCCAUAACUGACGCUCAUGGACGAAAGCCAGGGGAGCGAAAG
rnacentral:rRNA from 1 species